AACGCACAUUGCGCCCUUUGGUAUUCCUUAGGGCAUGCCUGUUCGAGCGUCAUUUGAACUCUCAAGCCUAGCUUGGUGAUGGGUACCUGCCUAGUUACUAGGCAUACCUCAAAGUCAUUGGCAGCUUGUCCAUCCGCCAUCGGCGCAGCACAAUUGCGCCGUAGCCGGGGGGCAAGGUUCCAGAAGCACAUUUUAAGCUUGACCUCGGAUCAGGUAGGGAUACCCGCUGAACUUAA
rnacentral:misc_RNA from 1 species